UACGUAGGGGGCAAGCGUUGUCCGGAUUUAUUGGGCGUAAAGAGCGUGUAGGCGGCCAGGUAGGUCUGCUGUGAAAACUCGAGGCUUAACCUCGAGCUGUCGGCGGAAACCAUCUGGCUAGAGUCCGGAAGAGGAGAAUGGAAUUCCCGGUGUAGUGGUGAAAUGCGCAGAUAUCGGGAAGAACACCCGUGGCGAAGGCGGUUCUCUGGGACGGUACUGACGCUGAGACGCGAAAGCGUGGGGAGCGAACAGG
rnacentral:rRNA from 1 species